rnacentral:rRNA from 1 species
CAGCCGCCGCGGUAAUACGGAGGGUGCAAGCGUUAAUCGGAAUUACUGGGCGUAAAGCGCACGCAGGCGGUCUGACAAGUCAGAUGUGAAAUCCCCGGGCUUAACCUGGGAACUGCAUUUGAAACUGUCAGGCUGGAGUCUUGUAGAGGGGGGUGGAAUUCCAGGUGUAGCGGUGAAAUGCGUAGAGAUCUGGAGGAAUACCGGUGGCGAAGGCGGCCCCCUGGACAAAGACUGACGCUCAGGUGCGAAAGCGUGGGGAGCAAACAGGAUUAGAUACCCGAGUAGUCCCUGUCUCUUAUAA